UACGGAGGGGGUUAGCGUUGUUCGGAAUUACUGGGCGUAAAGCGCGCGUAGGCGGACCAGAAAGUUGGGGGUGAAAUCCCGGGGCUCAACCCCGGAACGGCCUCCAAAACUCCUGGUCUUGAGUUCGAGAGAGGUGAGUGGAAUUCCGAGUGUGGAGGUGAAAUUCGUAGAUAUUCGGAGGAACACCAGUGGCGAAGGCGGCUCACUGGCUCGAUACUGACGCUGAGGUGCGAAAGUGUGGGGAGCAAACAGG
rnacentral:rRNA from 1 species